rnacentral:rRNA from 1 species
AACGUAGGGGACAAGCGUUAUCCGGAUUUACUGGGCGUAAAGCGCCCGUAGGCGGCUUUUUAAGUUGGACGUGAAAGCUCCCGGCUUAACUGGGAGAGGCCGUUCAAAACUGAGAGGCUAGAGUGGGGCAGAGGAGCGCGGAAUUCCUGGUGUAGCGGUGGAAUGCGCAGAUAUCAGGAGGAACACCGAUGGCGAAGGCAGUUCUCUGGGCCGUAACUGACGCUGAGGAGCGAAAGCGUGGGGGGCGAACAGG